CGCCCCCACAGGAACUAGUCUAACACAAGACCUCUA
rnacentral:tRNA from 1 species